GAUGAAGAACGUAGCGAAAUGCGAUAAGUAAUGUGAAUUGCAGAAUUCAGUGAAUCAUCGAAUCUUUGAACGCACAUUGCGCCCGCCAGUAUUCUGGCGGGCAUGCCUGUUCGAGCGUCAUUACAACCCUCAGGCCCCCGGGCCUGGCGUUGGGGAUCGGCGGAGCCCCCCGUGGGCACACGCCGUCCCCCAAAUGCAGUGGCGGUCCCGCCGCAGCUUCCAUCGCGUAGUAGCUAACACCUCGCGACUGGAGAGCGGCGCGGCCACGCCGAAAAACACCCAACUCUUCUGAAGUUGACCUCGAAUCAGGUAGGAAUACCCGCUGAACUUAAGCAUAUCAAUAAGCGGAGGA
rnacentral:misc_RNA from 1 species